CGGUGCCUUCGGCCAGAGCUGAUAUAACGUUUCCCAGCGCCGACAGAGACUUGUUGAUGUUCUUGGCUUCAUCCAGAACGGCUCCCUCCGCACCUGUCUUACUCACCUGACCGACAGACAGAAAACAUAACACAAGCUCGGGGUGGACACACUCCUGUGAGGCUGAAGAUGUCAGAAACACUCAAAGCACCUUCUCGCUCCCGGCCAGAUCCACCAGGUAGAGUUUUCCACAGAGCUUCUGCUCCGUCUCCACGUGCUCCUGUUUGAUGCUGAUGAGGAAUAUGCUGUGACUCCUGGAGCUGUGUUCAUUCAUAUCUGACACACGACAUCACAGCAGUCAGAUCAGCACCACAGGUAUUUUCCCAGAUUGCUCAGUGACUCAGCAAUCACAGCGGAAUACAGAUGAGCAGCGGCGGCGUUCCUCCAAUCAGAAUGCAGCAGCUGUGACUAAAACGACACAGAUGGACGUGUGUAUGUGUUCACACACUCUCAUCUGAAGCUCACAUGCUGAAAUAUGAGGUCUCAGCUGGUGUGACACUGUUCAGGACUGAGCGUUUUGUAAGAUUUUUUAAUGUUUUUAAAAAGUCUCUUCUGCUCACUGAGACUGCAUUUAUUUGAUCAAAAACAAUGAAAUAUUAUUCCAAUGUAAAUCAGCUGUUUUCUAUGUGAAUAUAUAGUAAAGUGUAAUUUAUUCCUGUGAUCAAAGCUGAAUUUUCAGCAUCAUUACUCCAGUCUUCAGUGUCACAUGAUCCUUCAGAAAUCAUUCUGAUAUGAUGAUUUGCUGCUCAAGAAACAUUUAUGAUUAUUAUCAAUGUUGAAAACAGUUAUUUUUGUGGAAACUGUGAUACAUUUUAUUUUUCAGGAUUUUUUGAUGAAUAAAAAGUUCAAAAGAACUGUAUUUAUUUGAAAUAGAACAUUAUAAAUGUCUUUACUGUCACUUUUGAUUAAUCCUUAAAAGUAUUAAUUUCUUAGGUAGUGUACAUAAAUUGUAAAUGAGCACUCAUCCAUAAGUACAUUUCAUGCUCUUUUUAUAUCCAGUUUAAAUAAAUUAUACCCAAAAAAAAUAAAUAAUAUUAAUGA